rnacentral:rRNA from 1 species
GUGGGGAAUAUUGGACAAUGGGGGGAACCCUGAUCCAGCCAUGCCGCGUGUGUGAAGAAGGCCUUUUGGUUGUAAAGCACUUUAAGCGAGGAGGAGGCUACCGAGAUUAAUACUCUUGGAUAGUGGACGUUACUCGCAGAAUAAGCACCGGCUAACUCUGUGCCAGCAGCCGCGGUAAUACAGAGGGUGCAAGCGUUAAUCGGAUUUACUGGGCGUAAAGCGCGCGUAGGUGGCCAAUUAAGUCAAAUGUGAAAUCCCCGAGCUUAACUUGGGAAUUGCAUUCGAUACUGGUUGGCUAGAGUAUGGGAGAGGAUGGUAGAAUUCCAGGUGUAGCGGUGAAAUGCGUAGAGAUCUGGAGGAAUACCGAUGGCGAAGGCAGCCAUCUGGCCUAAUACUGACACUGAGGUGCGAAAGCUAGGGCAGCGAACGGGAUUAGAAACCCGUGUAGUCC